AAUGGAGCAGUGAGAGGCAUCAGAGAGCCGGAGAGCCGGAUCACGGCGAGUGGUGAGCUCCUGUCAGCGCUGAUGAUCUGAUCUGCUAAUUCAGUCAAGUGCAGGAAGGAGGGAGAGUGCCCUUAUCUGUUACACCAAAGCCAGGCAGAGGGCGGAGUAGCCAGGCCUAGAGAGACAGGAGGAGUCGGGGGAGUGACCAGAGUGCAAUAAAACUGUUAUACUCACCUUGGGCUAGUUGUUCUGGAAGUAGACUUGAUGGACCUGAGGGAGAGAAAACAGAGGAGUCAGUAUAAGCACGACAUCAUCAUGCACAGCCGAACACCAUUCUGGGUCCGGGCGUGGCUGCGGUGCAAAGAAGAACAAGGAGCCGCAGCAACAGCCCCAGCAUGGCAUUGGGCGACGGCGCGUGGUGUACUACACGCUGCCCUCCGCCCGCCAACAAGCAACCAGCCUGCCUGUCUGAGCCCCUGUCCCUGGAUCCCGGCCCCAGCAGCAGAAAGGCACACAGCCAGCUACAGCAUCAAGACUGCAGGGAGAGUGCUGCCCCCUCUGGCCAGGUUAUAGUGUUCAGCAUUCUUUGAGUGGCCGCGGGGGAGAGAAGUCCUAGGAGCAGCAGCACGGCAUUGGGCGUUGGUGUAUGGUACUACACGCAGUCGCGCACAAGCCCCCGGUCUGCAGCCUGCCUGACUGAGCCCCUGGUGAAGAGACCCAUUACCCACGCAGUCCUGGAUCCCAGCCCAAGCAGCACCACAGCACAGGGCCAGCUGUAGCAUCAGCAUCAUACUGGUAGUGUCCUACAUGUAUGCAUCAAUGAUAUGGGAUCAAG